rnacentral:rRNA from 1 species
UACGAAGGGGGCUAGCGUUGCUCGGAAUCACUGGGCGUAAAGCGCACGUAGGCGGCUUUUUAAGUCAGGGGUGAAAUCCUGGAGCUCAACUCCAGAACUGCCCUUUGAUACUGAGAAGCUUGAGUCCGGGAGAGGUGAGUGGAACUGCGAGUGUAGAGGUGAAAUUCGUAGAUAUUCGCAAGAACACCAGUGGCGAAGGCGGCUCACUGGCCCGGUACUGACGCUGAGGUGCGAAAGCGUGGGGAGCAAACAGG